rnacentral:rRNA from 1 species
UGGGGAAUUUUGGACAAUGGGCGAAAGCCUGAUCCAGCAAUGCCGCGUGUGUGAAGAAGGCCUUCGGGUUGUAAAGCACUUUUGUCCGGAAAGAAAUCCUUGGCUCUAAUACAGUCGGGGGAUGACGGUACCGGAAGAAUAAGCACCGGCUAACUACGUGCCAGCAGCCGCGGUAAUACGUAGGGUGCAAGCGUUAAUCGGAAUUACUGGGCGUAAAGCGUGCGCAGGCGGUUUGCUAAGACCGAUGUGAAAUCCCCGGGCUCAACCUGGGAACUGCAUUGGUGACUGGCAGGCUAGAGUAUGGCAGAGGGGGGUAGAAUUCCACGUGUAGCAGUGAAAUGCGUAGAGAUGUGGAGGAAUACCGAUGGCGAAGGCAGCCCCCUGGGCCAAUACUGACGCUCAUGCACGAAAGCGUGGGGAGCAAACAGGAUUAGAUACCCUGGUAGUCCACGCCCUAAAACGAUGUCAACUAGUUGUCGGGGAUUCAUUUUCCUUAGUAACGUAGCUAACGCGUGAAGUUGACCGCCUGGGGAGUACGGUCGCAAGAUUAAAACUUAAAUGAAUUGACGGGGUCAUAGCUG